UACGUAGGCAGCAAGCGUUGUUCGGAGUUACUGGGCGUAAAGGGUGUGUAGGCGGUUCUCUAAGUCUGGUGUGAAAUCUCCCGGCUCAACUGGGAGGGUGCGCCGGAAACUGGGGAGCUAGAGUACUGGAUGGGAGAGUGGAAUUCCUGGUGUAGCGGUGAAAUGCGUAGAUAUCAGGAGGAACACCGGUGGCGAAGGCGGUUCUCUGGGCAUUACCUGACGCUCAGGCACGAAAGCGUGGGGAGCAAAAGGG
rnacentral:rRNA from 1 species